rnacentral:tRNA from 1 species
UGAGAGACUUUUAAGCUUCUAACUUAAAUACUGGACACAAUCCACUUCUC